GAUGAACGCUGGCGGCGUGCCUAAUACAUGCAAGUCGAGCGAACAGAUAAGGAGCUUGCUCCUUUGACGUUAGCGGCGGACGGGUGAGUAACACGUGGGUAACCUACCUAUAAGACUGGAAUAACUCCGGGAAACCGGGGCUAAUGCCGGAUAACAUUUAGAACCGCAUGGUUCUAAAGUGAAAGAUGGUUUUACUAUCACUUAUAGAUGGACCCGCGCCGUAUUAGCUAGUUGGUAAGGUAACGGCUUACCAAGGCAACGAUACGUAGCCGACCUGAGAGGGUGAUCUGCCACACUGGAACUGAGACACGGUCCAGACUCCUACGGGAGGCAGCAGUAGGGAAUCUUCCGCAAUGGGCGAAAGCCUGACGGAGCAACGCCGCGUGAGUGGUGAAGGUCUUCGGAUCGUAAAACUCUGUUAUUAGGGAAGAACAAAUGUGUAAGUAACUGUGCACGUCUUGACGGUACCUAAUCAGAAAGCCACGGCUAACUACGUG
rnacentral:rRNA from 1 species